CACGGGGGGAGCAAGCGUUGUUCGGAAUCACUGGGCGUAAAGGGCGUGUAGGCGGUCGAGUAAGUGGAAUGUGAAAUACUCCGGCUCACCCGGAGCACUGCAUCCCAAACUGCUCGGCUUGAGUAUGGGAGAGGACAAGGGAAUUCCUGGUGUAGCGGUGAAAUGCGUAGAUAUCAGGAGGAACACCAAUGGCGAAGGCAGCUCGCUGGGACGGUACUGACGCUGAGGCGCGAAAGCUAGGGGAGCAAACGGG
rnacentral:rRNA from 1 species